rnacentral:rRNA from 1 species
CCAAUAGCGUAUAUUAAAGUUGUUGCAGUUAAAAAGCUCGUAGUUGAAUUUCGGGAUCAAUUCGUCGGUCGUGCUCUUUGGUACGUACUGGCGUUAUUGGUUUCUCCUUUCUGACGAGCCAUGAUGUCAUUAAUUUGGUGUUAUGGGGAGUUAGGACUGUUACUUUGAAAAAAUUAGAGUGUUUAAAGCAGGCAUUAGCUUGAAUACAUUAGCAUGGAAUAAUGAAAUAGGACGUUCGAUCCUAUUUUGUUGGUUUCUAGGAUCAACGUAAUGAUUAAUAGGGAUAGUUGGGGGCAUUAGUAUUCAAUUGUCAGAGGUGAAAUUCUUGGAUUUAUUGAAGACUAACUACUGCGAAAGCAUUUGCCAAGGAUGUUUUCAUUAAUCAAGAACGAAAGUUAGGGGAUCGAAGACGAUCAGAUACCGUCGUAGUCUUAACCAUAAACUAUGCCGACUAGGGAUCGGAUGAUGUUAAUUUUUUAAUGACUCAUUCGGCGCCUUACG